GCGGCCCCGCCUCCGCGCCGGGGGAGGAGCCGCGCCGCCCGCCCCGAGCCGCGCUGGGACUGCCCGCCCUGGCCCGGCCCGGCCCGAGUGGAGCCACUGCGCUCUGCCUGGCGCCUCGCUGACCGUCCCGUCCCGCCUGCGGAGGUGUCCGGCCACCUCCUACCCGGCGGGACUGCUGCAGCCCCGCACUGCCCACCCGCUGGGAAGGGGCAGGGUGCCGCCUCCGUGGCGGGGGACGGGCAGGAGGAGGGCCACGGGCGCACUACGCACCGCUAACCUGACCCACGACUCUCCCCGGGCGGCGUGGAAAACAGCUGAACUGCAGCUGAAAUACAAAACACGGGCUUAGGAGCCCAUGUCAAUGAAAGAAAAAUCCACGUGUAAGCGCACAGGUGCUGCUAGAGGAGGCGCAGUGCCAGAGCAGUAAGCACAGCCUGCGUUUGCUUCCAGCAUAUGGAGACAUCUAGUGACUGAAUAAUAAACUGCAAAUCAGCUUCAGUCCGUCUGGAAUCCUGGAGGUCGUGCUCGCAUCGUUCUCUUGCGGGAUGUCGCUGGGACUGCGGCGUUCAGGGAGGCACAACUGCAAACACCGCGCCGCAGCUGCAGCAGGCACCGCGAUGGAACGAGCGGUGCUGACUCGAGUGGGCACUGAGGCUGCAGCCGCACCGCACAGCUCGAGCUUCAGAACAUAGCUUUGAGGGCUGAAACUGAAGAGUAACGCUUUGUUAAGACAGACCUGUCUAUAUAGACACGAAAGGGGUCGAGACUGUUCCUAACUUGCCCUUCUCAUCAAACCGCGGUGAAGGAAGCCCUUAGGUGCAUGAAUAAAGCAGUUUCAUCUUCACUUUGA